GAACGCUGGCGGCAUGCCUUACACAUGCAAGUCGAACGGCAGCACGGGAGCUUGCUCCUGGUGGCGAGUGGCGAACGGGUGAGUAAUAUAUCGGAACGUACCCUAGAGUGGGGGAUAACGCAGCGAAAGUUGCGCUAAUACCGCAUACGAUCUACGGAUGAAAGUGGGGGAUCGCAAGACCUCAUGCUCAUGGAGCGGCCGAUAUCUGAUUAGCUAGUUGGUGGGGUAAAGGCCUACCAAGGCUUCGAUCAGUAGCUGGUCUGAGAGGACGACCAGCCACACUGGAACUGAGACACGGUCCAGACUCCUACGGGAGGCAGCAGUGGGGAAUUUUGGACAAUGGGCGAAAGCCUGAUCCAGCAAUGCCGCGUGAGUGAAGAAGGCCUUCGGGUUGUAAAGCUCUUUUGUCAGGGAAGAAACGGUGGACUCUAAUACAGAUCACUAAUGACGGUACCUGAAGAAUAAGCACCGGCUAACUACGUG
rnacentral:rRNA from 1 species